rnacentral:tRNA from 1 species
GCCUGGGUGGCUCAGUCGGUGAAGCGUCCGACUUCAGCUCAGGUCAUGAGCUCAGGGGUUUGUGGGUUCGAGCCCCGCGUCGGGCU